UACGUAGGGUGCGAGCGUUAAUCGGAAUUACUGGGCGUAAAGCGUGCGCAGGCGGUUUGCUAAGACAGGUGUGAAAUCCCCGGGCUUAACCUGGGAACUGCGCUUGUAACUGGCAAGCUGGAGUGUGGCAGAGGGGGGUGGAAUUCCACGUGUAGCAGUGAAAUGCGUAGAGAUGUGGAGGAACACCGAUGGCGAAGGCAGCCCCCUGGGCUAGCACUGACGCUCAUGCACGAAAGCGUGGGGAGCAAACAGG
rnacentral:rRNA from 1 species